AUGGCGCUGCUGAGUUCGGAUGCCGUCCAGGUCGCUCCACUUAGAUUGUGUUUUUAUUUACUUUUGUACUUUCUUUUGCUCUCUCUUUUUACACACAUACCGUCUGCACUGAUCACUUACGACAAAGGAACACUUUUGGACAUUGGACACCACUUCACUAACCUGUUUCAGGACACUUUAUCCUCCAACCCAUCGUGGCCAUCUGAGAUUCUCCAGAACGCUGAGAUGAACAAUGGCCACCUGAAUAACCACCCGAGGCGACGAAUCAAGAAACACUGCGGGAAAUAUGCUGGGAUUCACAACAGACUGAGAAAAAUGGCACACAGCCCACCUCUGCCGAGCAUUCUGCUCGCCAAUGUCCAGUCUCUGGAGAAUAAGAUGGACGAUCUUAGAGCCAGGAUAAGUUUCCAACGGGACAUAAGGGACUGUAACAUCCUUUGUUUGUCUGAAACAUGGCUCACGCCCUCGGUCCCGGACACUGGUGUAACGCCGUCUGAUAACUUCUCUGUUUUACGGAUGGACAGAACAGCCGACGCCGGUAAAUCCAAAGGUGGAGGAGUGUGUUUCAUGAUUAACAAGAAAUGGUGUGACCCCAGGAAUAUCUCCACCCUGUCGCGCUUCUGCCCAUCUCAUCUGAAACAUCUAUCCAUUAUUUGCCGCCCAUUCUUUCUGCCCCGGGAGUUUUCAUCGAUCAUUGUUUCUGCUGUUUACAUCCCACCACAAGCUGACACCGGCUUGGUAUUGUCUAAGCUCCACGAUGUGCUCAGCAGCUACAUCAACAAACAUCCUGACGCUGCUCUUAUCAUCGCUGGGGAUUUUACCCAAGCCAACCUUAGGCAGGUCAUGCCGAACUUAUACCAACAUGUAUCCUGUCCAACCAGAAGACCGAAUACACUGGAUCAUUUCUACUCUCAGUUUAAGAAUCCCUACAAAGCUCGCUCACUACCAGCUUUCGGCAAAUCGGACCAUGCCGCCAUUUUCCUCACAUCGGAAUAUGAACAAAGGCUCGUUCAAGAACACCCCGGUGCAGAGGGUAAUGACGCGUUGGUCAGCCCACUCUGA
ensembl:lncRNA